rnacentral:rRNA from 1 species
GACGAACGCUGGCGGCGUGCCUAAUACAUGCAAGUAGAACGCACAGUUUAUACCGUAGCUUGCUACACCAUAAACUGUGAGUUGCGAACGGGUGAGUAACGCGUAGGUAACCUGCCUGGUAGCGGGGGAUAACUAUUGGAAACGAUAGCUAAUACCGCAUAAUAUUGAUUAUUGCAUGAUAAUUGAUUGAAAGAUGCUAUUGCAUCACUACCAGAUGGACCUGCGUUGUAUUAACUAGUAGGUGAGGUAACGGCUCACCUAGGCGACGAUACAUAGCCGACCUGAGAGGGUGAUCGGCCACACUGGGACUGAGACACGGCCCAGACUCCUACGGGAGGCAGCAGUAGGGAAUCUUCGGCAAUGGACGAAAGUCUGACCGAGCAACGCCGCGUGAGUGAAGAAGGUUUUCGGAUCGUAAAGCUCUGUUGUAAGAGAAGAACGGGUGUGAGAGUGGAAAGUUCACACUGUGACGGUAUCUUACCAGAAAGGGACGGCUAACUACGUG